rnacentral:rRNA from 1 species
UGGCGGACGGGGGAGUAACGCGUGGGUAACCUGCCUCAUACAGGGGGAUAACAGUUAGAAAUGACUGCUAAUACCGCAUAAGACCACAGCACCGCAUGGUGCAGGGGUAAAAACUCCGGUGGUAUGAGAUGGACCCGCGUCUGAUUAGGUAGUUGGUGGGGUAACGGCCUACCAAGCCGACGAUCAGUAGCCGACCUGAGAGGGUGACCGGCCACAUUAGGACUGAGACACGGCCCAA